AGCUCUCCCAGCAGCGACAGAAAGAUCUCACCAGUACGCAGAACCCUCCCAGUGGAGGAGAACCAGGAGAACCAGGACGUCCAGGCUUGUUCUGCAACAUGAGGAGAACGUGUGCAACAUAAACACGAGAGGGGAACAACCAGGAAGUCAGACACACUGGGACGCAGACUGGGAGGAAUCUGGUCCGUCUGCAUGUGGAGGUGGCCGAGCUGUUUCAGACCAGAGCCACAGCGACGGGAGUCAUUUCGUGUGGUCCCACUUUGCGGCUGGACUAUGAGAACUCUGUUGUGCAUGUUUGCAUUUUUAAGAAAUUCUUGUGCAGUGAACUUGUGGACCCUCCCUUCUCUUUCCAGUUGCAGCCCCUGCUCUAUG